rnacentral:rRNA from 1 species
AUUGAACGCUGGCGGCAGGCCUAACACAUGCAAGUCGAACGAGUGGCGGACGGGUGAGUAAUGUCUGGGAAACUGCCUGAUGGAGGGGGAUCACCACUGGAAACGGUAGCUAAUACCGCAUACCCUCAAAUGUGCCCAGAUGGGAUUGGCUAGUGGGUGGGGGAACGGCUCACCAAGGCGACGAUCCCUAGCUGGGUUGAGAGGAUGACCAGCCCCACUGGAACGGAGACACGGUCCAGACUCCUACGGAAGGCAGCAGUGGGGAAUAUUGCACAAUGGGCGCAAGCCGGAUGCAGCCAUGCCGCGUGUAUGAAGAAGGCCUUCGGGUUGUAAAGUACUUUCAGCGGGGAGGCGUUACCCGCAGAAGAAGCACCGGCUAACUCCGUGCCAGCAGCCGCGGUAAUAC